CCUACGGGAGGCAGCAGUAGGGAAUAUUGCUCAAUGGGGGAAACCCUGAAGCAGCAACGCCGCGUGGAGGAUGAAGGUUUUCGGAUUGGAAACUCCUUUUGUUAGAGAAGAGAAUGACGGUAUCUAACGAAUAAGCACCGACUAACUCCGUGCCAGCAGCCGCGGUAAUACGGAGGGUGCAAGCGUUACUCGGAAUCACUGGGCGUAAAGAGCGCGUAGGCGGGAUAGCAAGUCAGAUGUGAAAUCCUAUGGCUUAACCAUAGAACUGCAUUUGAAACUGUUAUUCUAGAGUAUGGGAGAGGUAGGUGGAAUUCUUGGUGUAGGGGUGAAAUCCGUAGAGAUCAAGAGGAAUACUCAUUGCGAAGGCGACCUGCUAGAACAUAACUGACGCUGAUGCGCGAAAGCGUGGGGAGCAAACAGGAUUAGAUACCCCAGUAGUC
rnacentral:rRNA from 1 species